GUCCACGCCGUAAACGAUGUUCACUAGGUGCUGCGGGUAUUGACCCCUGCGGUGCCGGAGCUAACGCGUUAAGUGAACCGCCUGGGGAGUACGGCCGCAAGGUUAAAAACUCAAAGGAAUUGACGGGGCCCGCACAAGCGGUGGAGUAUGUGGUUUAAUUCGACGCAACGCGAAGAACCUUAACCUGGGUUUGACAUCUGGGGAAUCCGCCAGAGACGGUGGAGUGCCUUCGGGAGCCCCAAGACAGGUGCUGCAUGGCUGUCGU
rnacentral:rRNA from 1 species